rnacentral:rRNA from 1 species
CGCUGGCGGCACGCCUAACACAUGCAAGUCGAACGAAGUAGCAAUACUUAGUGGCAGACGGGUGAGUAACAUGUAGGUAUCUGCCCUUUGGCCUGGAAUAACACGAGGAAACUUGUGCUAAUACCGGAUAAGUCUUUACGGAGAAAGCUUUAUGCACCAUUGGAUGAGCCUGCACUUGAUUAGUUUGUUGGUGGGGUAAUGGCCUACCAAGACUGUGAUCAAUAGCUGAUUUGAGAGGAUGAUCAGCCACAUUGGGACUGAGACACGGCCCAAACUCCUACGGGAGGCAGCAGUGGGGAAUCUUGCACAAUGGAGGAAACUCUGAUGCAGCGAUGCCGCGUGAGUGAAGAAGGCCCUUGGGUUGUAAAGCUCUUUCGUCGGGGAAGAAAAUGACUGUACCCGAAUAAGAAGGUCCGGCUAACUUCGUGCCAGCAGCCGCGGUAAUACGAAGGGGCCUAGCGUAGUUCGGAAUUACUGGGCUUAAAGAGUUCGUAGGUGGUUGAAAAAGUUAGUGGUGAAAUCCCAGAGCUUAACUCUGGAACUGCCAUUAAAACUUUUCAGCUAGAGUAUGAUAGAGGAAAGCAGAAUUUCUAGUGUAGAGGUGAAAUUCGUAGAUAUUAGAAAGAAUACCAAUUGCGAAGGCAGCUUUCUGGAUCAUUACUGACACUGAGGAACGAAAGCAUGGGUAGCGAAGAGGAUUAGAUACCCUCGUAGUCCAUGCCGUAAACGAUGUGUGUUAGACGUUGGAAAUUUAUUUUCAGUGUCGCAGCGAAAGCGAUAAACACACCGCCU